rnacentral:lncRNA from 1 species
UCUCAGGGACACAGAGCAGGCCUGCUGGUUCCCAGGGCACAUCCCAUAGCGUCUCCUCCCCUCCUCCUACAGCUAUCCACACUGGGACACCCAGGUCCUCCACAAUGAGCUCUGCGACCUCAAUCCUCACCUCCACCCUGCCAAGAACGACACAUGCAUGGAGAACAGGCUCCCCACCCAUCACCAGAGCACAUCCCAGGACCACUGCCCAGGAUCACAACAGCCUGGAUACUUCCUGGGUUGCUCCCACUCCACACACAAGUCAUGUGUCCACGAACACUGCAGUGACCCCUGCAGGAACCACCAAACCGAGAACCCAGGCACACUCCUCUGCCUCUCCACAAUCACUUCCUUCCCAGGAGACCACAGCACAGUGGACAGUCAGCCCAGGGUCACAGACGUAUCCGCACUCACACUCCACCCUUCUUGGGAGCACUUCCUCUCACACUCCAUUAUCUCCAAGAAACCCACCUUUACAAGAAAGCAGCCCUGCAGAAUCCACAAAGGUGACCCUGGUCAGUGCCUCCAAGAAACUUGGAUCCUCCUCCCCAAAACCAUCCACUCCCCACUGGCCUGGGACUCUAGCCCCCAUCUUCCUCACCACCGAGGACGACGUCCCUACCUUCCCCAACACAGUCCCACAAGCUGUCAGCCAGGCAGUCUCCACUGAGGCUGGCAGUAGGACCAUCAUGCAGGAGGUGUCCAAGGACCUCACACCAAACACAAGAUCUGCACCUCCACAGAGGGCAAUAACCAGCGUGGAAACCACCAGGUCUCAACCACAAUCCCUUCCAUCACCCUCCACUGGGUCACAACCCACCAUGACCACCACGGCAUCCAAGAUCCUUUCCACUGUCACAAAGUCUAUUGCAACCUCAGAGAAGGCCACCACUUCCAGCAGAACUUCUGGUCUAGUGCCACCUGAAAGCACCCUUUUUGAGAAUCCAAGACACCCUGUAAGUUCUCUGGGGACAUCCCCUGUUGGAUCAUCCCCUCCUAUUACACCUCUCAACACUGGGUCACCCAGAACCAUCUCACCAGGCCCUAGGUUCUCAGACCUCACCACCCCCCAGCCAGGAAUCAUGCAGACAUCGAGGAUAAGCUCUCCACCCAUCUCCAGCCUGCAUGUGAGGACCACCACCCAGGCACAGAAGACCCUGGACACUGACCUGACCACUCACACUCCACCAACAAGUCAAGUUUCCAUGGAAGAGGCAGUGACCAGUGAAGUGACCACAUCUGGACCCCAAGAACAGUUCCCUGCCUCCACAGGGUCACAUCCUUCACUCAAAAGCCCUACACAGUGGGAAUUCAGCACUGGGUCCCAGAUGCCUUCACGCUCAACAAACACCCCUCUGAGGAGCAUUUCCUCU